CAAUAGCGUAUAUUAAAGUUGUUGCAGUUAAAAAGCUCGUAGUUGGAUUUCUGGUAGGAGCGACCGUGCCGAACUUGAUUGUUCGAGUAUUGUGUUGUCUUCAGCCAUCCUCGUGGAGAACUUUUCUAACAUUAACUUGUUGGGAUUGGGACCCGCGUCGUUUACUGUGAAAAAAUUAGAGUGUUUAAAGCAGGCAUUAGCUUGAAUACAUUAGCAUGGAAUAAUAAGAUAGGACUUUGGUACUAUUUUGUUGGUUUGCAUACCAAAUUAAUGAUCAACAGGAACAGUUUGAGGAUAUUCGUAUGAACAUGUCAGAGGUGAAAUUCUUGGAUUUUGAUCAGACGAACUACUGCGAAAGCAUUUAUCAAGGAUGCUUUCAUUAA
rnacentral:rRNA from 1 species